UACGUAGGGGUGCAAGCGUUUAAUCGGAAUUACUGGGCGUAAAGCGUGCGCAGGCGGUUGUGCAAGACAGAUGUAGAAAUCCCCGGGCUUAACCUGGGAAUUGCAUUUGUGAGCUGCACGGCUAGAGUGUGUCAGAGGGGGGUAGGAAUUCCACGUGUAGCAGUGAAAUGCGUAGAUAUGUGGAGGAAUACCGAUGGCGAAGGCAGCCCCCGUGGGAUAACACUGACGCUCAUGCAACGAAAGGCGUGGGGAGCAAACAGG
rnacentral:rRNA from 1 species